GGCUCAAAGUCCAGUCGGAACGAGGGAACCGUAGAGUUUCGGGUGAGUAACACGUGAGUAACCUGCCCUUGACUUCGGGAUAACUCCGGGAAACCGGGGCUAAUACCGGAUAUGAGCCGCCUUCGCAUGGGGGUGGUUGGAAAGUUUUUCGGUCAGGGAUGGGCUCGCGGCCUAUCAGCUUGUUGGUGGGGUGAUGGCCUACCAAGGCGACGACGGGUAGCCGGCCUGAGAGGGCGACCGGCCACACUGGGACUGAGACACGGCCCAGACUCCUACGGGAGGCAGCAGUGGGGAAUAUUGCACAAUGGGCGAAAGCCUGAUGCAGCGACGCCGCGUGAGGGAUGAAGGCCUUCGGGUUGUAAACCUCUUUCAGCAGGGAAGAAGCGCAAGUGACGGUACCUGCAGAAGAAGCGCCGGCUAACUACGUGCCAGCAGCCGCGGUAAUACGUAGGGCGCAAGCGUUGUCCGGAAUUAUUGGGCGUAAAGAGCUCGUAGGCGGUUUGUCGCGUCUGGUGUGAAAACUCGAGGCUCAACCUCGAGCUUGCAUCGGGUACGGGCAGACUAGAGUGCGGUAGGGGAGACUGGAAUUCCUGGUGUAGCGGUGGAAUGCGCAGAUAUCAGGAGGAACACCGAUGGCGAAGGCAGGUCUCUGGGCCGCAACUGACGCUGAGGAGCGAAAGCAUGGGGAGCGAACAGGAUUAGAUACCCUGGUAGUCCAUGCCGUAAACGUUGGGCACUAGGUGUGGGGCUCAUUCCACGAGUUCCGUGCCGCAGCAAACGCAUUAAGUGCCCCGCCUGGGGAGUACGGCCGCAAGGCUAAAACUCAAAGGAAUUGACGGGGGCCCGCACAAGCGGCGGAGCAUGCGGAUUAAUUCGAUGCAACGCGAAGAACCUUACCAAGGCUUGACAUGCACGGGAAGCCACCAAAGAUGGUGGUCUCUUUGGAACCUCGUGCCCAGGUGGUGCAUGGUUGUCGUCAGCUCGUGUCUUGAGAUGUUGGGUUAAGUCCCGCAACGAGCGCACCCUCGUCCCAUGUUGCC
rnacentral:rRNA from 1 species